AUUGAACGCUGGCGGCAUGCCUUACACAUGCAAGUCGAACGGCAGCACGGGAGCAAUCCUGGUGGCGAGUGGCGAACGGGUGAGUAAUAUAUCGGAACGUGCCCAGUAGUGGGGGAUAACUGCUCGAAAGAGCAGCUAAUACCGCAUACGACCUAAGGGUGAAAGGGGGGGAUCGCAAGACCUCUCGCUAUUGGAGCGGCCGAUAUCAGAUUAGCUAGUUGGUGGGGUAAAGGCCUAACAAGGCAACGAUCUGUAGUUGGUCUGAGAGGACGACCAGCCACACUGGGACUGAGACACGGCCCAGACUCCUACGGGAGGCAGCAGUGGGGAAUUUUGGACAAUGGGCGCAAGCCUGAUCCAGCAAUGCCGCGUGCAGGAAGAAGGCCUUCGGGUUGUAAACUGCUUUUGUCAGGGAAGAAAUCCUCUAGGUUAAUACCCUUGGGGGGAUGAUGGUACCUGAAGAAUAAGCACCGGCUAACUACGUGCCAGCAGCCGCCGUAAAAC
rnacentral:rRNA from 1 species